AAAAAAAUUCGACGAAAAAUUCCAAUAUUACUAUCGUAAUCCUGGACUAUACUUUUAUUAUCUGUAACAUUCAAAUAUAUGAUACGAAAAUUUACAGUUUUUAAAAGAUUUUUUACUAUUCACUAUCGUAAUUUCAUUAAGAGUUUAUUGUAAUCAAUUCAAUAAGAAAUAUUACAAUGUUACUAUCGUAAAUAGUAAAAGAAUAAAAAAUAAGAUUUAAUUAUACUAUUUAUUCUUUUAUUCUUCCUUUUAAUUUACAGUGCUGCCUCUAUGUUUUUACAAUACAAGCUACAAAAAUUACGAUAGUUGGAUUGUAAAUUUUCUGAAAUGGUAUAGUAUAUGCCAUCUGAAGCGUUUACGUAUGAAAGACAAGUGUUGUCACAAACCAUGAUGUGAUGCUUGUAUGAGUGUAUAUAUAUAUAUAAAUACAAAUGAUGACAUCUACUUUGUCUGUAUUAUUUGUGGUUCAACUAUAUAUAUUUAUAAAUCAGUUCAUCUUUAUCCACAGUGUAGUGCAGAAAUAGAGGUUAUUAUUCAUGACGUUUUUCGGACAAUUGUAAAUAAGAAAUUUAAAAUAAAAACUGUACUUUCGUCAUUACAAACCUACAUAGAUUGUGGAAUAUAAUAAUUUGGUGGUGAUAAUCUUCAUUUGUCGACAAUGAAUAAUUUUACCCGGCUUUGCGAGAGGUAAAACAUUUCAAUAACCUCAAAUUAUGGACAUUCAACAUUUCUCUAUGAUACUGAAGUUAGCAGACGCCUAAUAAUUUUUGGAUUUUUUUAAAAAUGAUAAAUUAUAGAAAAAAAGUAUUCGAAAAAAUUGCACCUAUGGUUUUUUUAAUUUUCUACAUGUGCGUAUUUUGAAUACAAAUAAAUGAGUUAUUUAUUCAUAAAUUUUAUAUAUACCAAAAAAAUAUGUUUGAAAAAAUAUUAAAUAAAUGUUUUAUUAUUACUACUUCAA